CCCUUAGAGUUUGAUCCUGGCUCAGGACGAACGCUGGCGGCGUGCCUAAUACAUGCAAGUCGAGCGCGGGAAGCUGACUGAAUCCUUCGGGAGGACGUGAGUGGAACGAGCGGCGGACGGGUGAGUAACACGUGGGCAACCUGCCUGUAAGACUGGGAUAACUCCGGGAAACCGGGGCUAAUACCGGAUAGUACUUUGGUUCAUAGGAACCGAAGUGGAAAGGUGGCGCAAGCUACCACUUACAGAUGGGCCCGCGGUGCAUUAGCUAGUUGGUGAGGUAACGGCUCACCAAGGCAACGAUGCAUAGCCGACCUGAGAGGGUGAUCGGCCACACUGGGACUGAGACACGGCCCAGACUCCUACGGGAGGCAGCAGUAGGGAAUCUUCCGCAAUGGACGAAAGUCUGACGGAGCAACGCCGCGUGAACGAAGAAGGUUUUCGGAUCGUAAAGUUCUGUUGUUAGGGAAGAACAAGUACCGUUCAAUAGGGCGGUACCUUGACGGUACCUAUCGAGGAAGCCCCGGCUAACUACGUGCCAGCAGCCGCGGUAAUACGUAGGGGGCAAGCGUUGUCCGGAAUUAUUGGGCGUAAAGCGCGCGUAGGCGGUUUCUUAAGUCUGAUGUGAAAUCUUGCGGCUCAACCGCAAGCGGUCAUUGGAAACUGGGGAACUUGAGUACAGAAGAGGAGAGCGGAAUUCCACGUGUAGCGGUGAAAUGCGUAGAGAUGUGGAGGAACACAAGUGGCGAAGCGGCUCUCUGGUCUGUAACUGACGCUGAGUGCGAAAGCGUGGGGAGCGACAGAUAG
rnacentral:rRNA from 1 species